AUUGAACGCUGGCGGCAGGCCUAACACAUGCGAGUCGAGCGGAUGAAGGGAGCUUGCUCCUGGAUUCAGCGGCGGACGGGUGAGUAAUGCCUAGGAAUCUGCCUGGUAGUGGGGGAUAACGUCCGGAAACGGGCGCUAAUACCGCAUACGUCCUGAGGGAGAAAGUGGGGGAUCUUCGGACCUCACGCUAUCAGAUGAGCCUAGGUCGGAUUAGCUAGUUGGUGGGGUAAAGGCCUACCAAGGCGACGAUCCGUAACUGGUCUGAGAGGAUGAUCAGUCACACUGGAACUGAGACACGGUCCAGACUCCUACGGGAGGCAGCAGUGGGGAAUAUUGGACAAUGGGCGAAAGCCUGAUCCAGCCAUGCCGCGUGUGUGAAGAAGGUCUUCGGAUUGUAAAGCACUUUAAGUUGGGAGGAAGGGCAGUAAGUUAAUACCUUGCUGUUUUGACGUUACCGACAGAAUAAGCACCGGCUAACUUCGUG
rnacentral:rRNA from 1 species